rnacentral:rRNA from 1 species
AUUGAACGCUGGCGGCAGGCCUAACACAUGCAAGUCGAGCGGUAGAGAGGUGCUUGCACCUCUUGAGAGCGGCGGACGGGUGAGUAAUGCCUAGGAAUCUGCCUGGUAGUGGGGGAUAACGUUCGGAAACGGACGCUAAUACCGCAUACGUCCUACGGGAGAAAGCAGGGGACCUUCGGGCCUUGCGCUAUCAGAUGAGCCUAGGUCGGAUUAGCUAGUUGGUGAGGUAAUGGCUCACCAAGGCGACGAUCCGUAACUGGUCUGAGAGGAUGAUCAGUCACACUGGAACUGAGACACGGUCCAGACUCCUACGGGAGGCAGCAGUGGGGAAUAUUGGACAAUGGGCGAAAGCCUGAUCCAGCCAUGCCGCGUGUGUGAAGAAGGUCUUCGGAUUGUAAAGCACUUUAAGUUGGGAGGAAGGGUCGUUACCUAAUACGUGACGAUUUUGACGUUACCGACAGAAUAAGCACCGGCUAAUUCUGUGCCAGCCGCCGCAGUAAAAC